GCCAAGCAUCUUAGGAACCUGCAUUUCCUCUUUCACAAGGGAAAGUUAUUUGCCUACCCACGUGUAUGAAUGCUCUUAAAGAAAAUCUAACCAUGGAGAUUCUAAGGUGAAGUGUUUUCUCAAGUUACCUUCCGGCAAUUCCAAAAUAGUGACAACGUCCCUGCCCUAUGGAAGUUUGUACCUUGCAAGGUGGGUACCUGUGACUGUUCCAUGGAGGGGCUACUGGAAAGACAGCUCUAACUCCCAGUCUUGGAUACACUUUGGGCCUCUUGAUAGUGAACCAGGACAUGAACUGCAAGAUGUAGUAUUUCAUUUGGUUUCUCUCUGGGAUGAAUUGAUUUGCUGGCCAGAAAUGAGGCUGAAUUCCUCCAUCAGGUUAAAGGCUGCUGACACAGGGUGUUUGGUUUAGCAGCCUGCCCCAAGCGCCUCAUCUGCAUACUGAUAAAGCCUGCUUGCCUCCCAGCCCAAGCUUGGCAGUGGCCAGUUGCUAAUGCAAGCUGUCUGGGGAACAAAGGAGAACUCAAUCUAGUUUUCACCUGAAUGGCUGCCAAGAUGAGGUACCACAGACCGGGUGACUCAAUCAACAGAAACCUGUUUUCUCAUGAUUCUGGAGCCUAGGAGCCCACGAUCAACAAGAUCAAGGCAUCAGCAGGGUUGGUUUCUUUUGAAGCCUCUCUUCUUGGCUUGCAGAUGACCAUCUUCUCUCUGUGUCUUCAUUCACAUGUUCCCUCUCUGUGUGCCUGCCCUAAUCUCCUACUCUUAUAAGGACACCAGUCAUAUUGGAUUAGGCCCAACUAUAUGACCUCAUUUGACCUGAAAUACCUCUGUAAGGUCUCAUCUCCAAAUACAGUCACAGUGUGAGGCACUGGGGCUUAGGAUUUCAGCAUAUGAAAUUGGGGACAAGAAAGGGAGGGCACAAGUCAUCCCAUAACAGACAGGAUCUUUCAGGUGUAACUUCAACCUAGGCAUGACACUUCUGGUCCCAAAUGAUGUAUUAGCCAUCUUUUUUCUAGCCUUGGAAAACGUUCUGGAUUGAAAUAAAAUAUUGCCUCAAGACAGGCUAGACCUACACAUACAUGUCUUGGCAAGUCAGCUCUCAGUGGUAUAGAUGGGCAUUUUUUUCUGAUUUUAUACUUGUGAGUACUUCAUUCCAGAGCUUUCAAAGAUACUUGGCUGAAUUUCAAAAGAAUCAUCAUUGGGCAAGACUAAUAUGCUGGGGAGAGGAUUGUGAAGAUAUUAUUAUGAUUAUGAUUAUUAGUAAAUCAUGUCUAAGUUCUAUUAAUGGAAUAAAUAAGUGGGUAAAAAUCUAGCAAGCUGGUCAAUAAUUUGAGGAGGAUAGAAUUUAUUUGACAUUUUCCAUAUAAAUGGAUCCAGGUAUUAUUUUAACCAUUGUCUUGAUGGGUGAAAAGUAUAUGGUCUCAAAGCCUGACACUAAUAAGAAGUGGGGAGAAAAUAUCAGCUAGGACUAUUUCUAUAUGAUUCUAGCAUAUUUUGCUUAUAACAAAGAAAGUGGGUAGCUUGGUCUGUUUCAAGACUUGGACUUUGCCAGGAGAGAAUAUCUACUUUUUAAUCAUGUUAUAACCACUGUUAUUAUGUGGCCUAGGAGAAAGAAAUGACUGAUAUAAUACAUAUGGCUUUUUCUGACUUUAUUUAAAUACAGUAAAUGUUAACUUUUAAAAUAUUUUCUUUGUUCCUACUGUUUUCACUUUUUUCUUUCAAUAUGCCUUGUUAUCAAGGAUAAAAUGGAGCUGCAUAGAUGAAGAGUUAGAAUGUGAUGGGGAGGUAUGGUCCAAUGUGUAGCAAGGUAGAGUGUCACAACAGCAAUGAUAAAACUUAGUCUGCAUUUUGAAUUCAUUCAUUCAUUCAUUCACUCUACACUGGACCAUGUUGCAAAGAAAUCAACAAGACAGCCAGAAAGUCCUGGUCUUCCAGGAAGCCGACAUUUGUAAUGAAUGUACUACAUGGAUGUGGCAGGCAAUCACUAAGAUAAAUGAUUUUUCCAAAAACAAAGUUUGAGCAUAGCUUAUAAAAACUGAAAACAUAAAUUAAAAUGUAACAGAAAUUUUAAAUUUCUCCUUAGAUUUGAAGGCUGGUACUGCUCCAACAUGCUAGAGUUGAGAGUCUCUAACAGGGGAAAAUCAAAACAUUUUUUCCAAGUAGGAUUAAGGGAAUCUGUACACUGGCUAUGAAAUCAAAGAAAAGCUUUUACUUAAUAAGUUUGAAAUUACUUGUAAUUUUUCCUAUGAUUAACUAUCACAAACACCCAGGAAAUUCUGCUCAGAGCUCAAGUUAUAUCUGAAAUAGUGUG